GAUGAACGCUGGCGGCGUGCCUAAUACAUGCAAGUCGAGCGAACGGACGAGAAGCUGGCUUCUCUGAUGUUAGCGGCGGACGGGUGAGUAACACAUGGAUAACCUACCUAUAAGACUGGGAUAACUUCGGGAAACCGGAGCUAAUACCGGAUGAUAUUUUGAACCGCAUGGUUCAAAAGUGAAAGACGGUCUUGCUGUCACUUAUAGAUGUAUCCGCGCUGCAUUAGCUAGUUGGUAAGGUAACGGCUUACCAAGGCAACGAUGCGUAGCCGACCUGAGAGGGUGAUCGGCCACACUGGAACUGAGACACGGUCCAGACUCCUACGGGAGGCAGCAGUAGGGAAUCUUCCGCAAUGGUCGAAAGCCUGACGGAGCAACGCCGCGUGAGUGAUGAAGGUCUUCGGAUCGUAAAACUCUGUUAUUAGGUAAGAACAUAUGUGUAAGUAACUGUGCACAUCUUGACGGUACCUAAUCAGAAAGCCACGGCUAACUACGUG
rnacentral:rRNA from 1 species